rnacentral:rRNA from 1 species
UCACGCUGUAAACGAUGUCGAUUUGGAGUUUGUUGCCUAGAGUGAUGGGCUCCGAAGCUAACGCGAUAAAUCGACCGCCUGGGGAGUACGGCCGCAAGGUUAAAACUCAAAUGAAUUGACGGGGGCCCGCACAAGCGGUGGAGCAUGUGGUUUAAUUCGAUGCAACGCGAAGAACCUUACCUGGUCUUGACAUCCAUAGAAUUCUGCAGAGAUGUGGGAGUGCCUUCGGGAACUAUGAGACAGGUGCUGCAUGGCUGUCGUCAGCUCGUGUUGUGAAAUGUUGGGUUAAGUCCCGCAACGAGCGCAACCCUUAUUCUUUGUUGCCAGCGAUUUGGUCGGGAACUCAAAGGAGACUGCCGUUGAUAAAGCGGAGGAAGGUGGGGACGACGUCAAGUCAUCAUGGCCCUUACGACCAGGGCUACACACGUGCUACAAUGGCGUAUACAAAGGGAAGCGAAGGUGCGAGCUGGAGCGGAUCUCAUAAAGUACGUCUAAGUUCGGAUUGGAGUCUGCAACUCGACUCCAUGAAGUCGGAAUCGCUAGUAAUCGUAGAUCAGAAUGCUACGGUGAAUACGUUCCCGGGCCUUGUACACACCGCCCGUCACACCAUGGGAGUGGGUUGCACCAGAAGUAGAUAGCUUAACCGCGAGGGGGGCGUUUACCACGGUGUGAUUCAUGACUGGGGUGAAGUCGUAACAAGGUAACCA